CUCGCCAGGUGACUGCAUGCCACAUUGCUUGAUGUCCUGGGAAAAUACAGAAUUGGGUGUACUCUCAGGCCCCAACUUCACACCAGAGUAGUCAUUACUUUGUUUUACAUCCCCAAGAAGGGUACUGAUAUCACCGAGAAGUUUGUAUUGAUCACGAACGAAACCCUUCUCUGUCUUUUCUCUCUUUCUUGAGUCCAUUGCCAAGUCCAAGUUUGGUUUUUCAACCAUCUCUAGCGCUAGUUUACCACUCAUGCCAUUCACGGAUGUCACUAGUCCAGUUUCUAUUUCCUCUCUGGUUCUAUCACUCAACAUUUGCUUAAGUAUUUCAUGGAAAACACUCUGGCACAUCGCAACCCUCAUAUCAGAAUGAAGAGGAUUCCAGCAGCAGUAGAAAUUAUGUAGAAAUGGUGAGAAGUAGGUCGGAAACACGACAGCAGCAUAAUUUUGCAGGUAGCUUU
rnacentral:misc_RNA from 1 species